CAAAUCCUAUAGACAUUUGCUAGGAUACACCCACUUGGUUUUUAGAAGGAGUAUUUUAGCAAGUGAAUAACUAAAAAGUGU
rnacentral:pre_miRNA from 1 species